rnacentral:lncRNA from 1 species
UCGCAAUAUGAGCUAAUUUUUUUUUGAAACACAGAAAUGGAAAACACAUCAGCAUCUUGAGGUUCAACUCACCUCUCGCAAUAUGAGCUAAUUUUUUUUGAAAGACAGAAAUUGAAAAUACCUCAACAUGUCUUGAGGCUCAACUCACCUCUCGCAAUAUGAGUUAAUUUUUGACAAACAAAAAUUGAAAUUACCUCAGCGUCUUGAGGUUCAACUCACCUAUCGCAAUAUGAGUUGAUUUUUUUGAAAAACAGAAAUUGAAAACACCUCAACGUAUCUUGAGGUUCAACUAACCUCUCGCAAUAUGAGCUGAUUUCUUUUAAAGAUAGAAAUUGAAAAUACCUCAACGUGUCUUGAGGCUCAACUCACCUCUCGCAAUAUGAGUUGAUUUUUGACAAACAAAAAUUGAAAUUACCUCAGUGUGUCCUGAGGCUCAAGUUAAUUUUUUUGAAAAACAGAAAUUGAAAAUACCUCAACGUGACUUGAGGUUCAACUCACCUCUUGCAAUAUGAGUUGAGUUUUGACAAACAAAAAUUGAAAUUACCUCAGCGUGUCCUGAGGCUCAACUCACUUCUCGCAAUAUGAGUUGAUUUUUUUAGAAACAUAAAUUUAAAAAACGAAAAUUGAAAAUACCUCAACGUGUCCUGAGGCUCAACUCACCUCUUGCAAUAUGAGUUGAUUUGAAAAGCAGAAUUUGUAAGGCAAAAAUUGAAAAACAGAAAUUGAAAAUACCUCAACGUGCCCUGAGGCUCAACUCACUUCUUGCAAUAUGAGUUGAUUUUUGAAAAACAGAAAUUAAAAACAGAAAUUGAAAAAUAGAAAUUAAAAAUACCUCGACGUGCCCCGAGGCUCAGCUCACCUCUCGCAAUAUGAGUUGAUUUUUGAAAAGCAUAAAUUGAAAAAACAGAAAUUGAAAAUACCUCAGCGUGUGACAUGAGGCCCAACUCACCUCUCGCAAUAUGAGUUGAUUUUUUUGAAAGAUAGAAAUAAAAACAUCAAAACACCAAAAGAUGUCAUCUGGUGAAACUCGGUGUCCUUUCCUUUGAUUCAGUACAGCUAUCAUCGAAAUCUCUUGUUCUGCUGAAAUACAUGUAUAUGUCAUGCAUGAUGUUAUCAUGAAAUGCACAUGUUUGCCUUAAAUGCCUUUAUGAUCAUGCUAUGUGCCUUGGGCUUGCUUGCCAUAUGUCCUUUUCCGUCAUGAUUUUUGAUGAUCUGCGUUCAUUGCUUUGACUCUUGACUUUCUCUUCAGGCCUUGUACCCAUCCUCUAGCUUCACGACUAAUCUGUGUUUCUCAGAUAUCGUUCUUUUGCCCCUAGUUGAACUUUGUCCUUGCUUUGAGGCUCUUGUACUUAUCAAAUUCUUGUCCGAGUAAUGCUUAGCACUUCUUUUGUUUAGAAUAUGUCAUUUCACUAUUUAUCAUGUAAAUGAACCACAUAAUGAGAUGCAUGAAAAUGGUCAAGUAGGGACAAAAGAAUACCUCACAUUUAUUCAUUUCAAAUGUAGCAAACAAAGAAAGUUAAUCAAUGAUAGUAAAAAAAAGUGUCAUAAAGAGAAAGGGGAUCGUAUUUCAAAAAAUACAAAUGCUCUAGAUAUUCAACGCAUGAACUCUUCCACGUUCCUCAAUCAAGAAUCUUUUCAAGCAUGGCUUUCUUGCGUAAGAGAUUUCGAGUUUUCAGAAAUGCUUCAAAUACUAUAGUCUCUCUGUUUGACCCACCGUUCAAAACGCCUUACUUUUUAAGCCAGUGCUUGCUUCAUUAGAACGCCCUUUAGGGUUUUCAUCCGAAUCUUUUGUGUUAAUUAAGAUGUCCUUUUCGUGUUUUCACCUUGAUCACUCUCUCUUUUUCUUUUUUCUUUUCUUUUUUUUAAGAUGCCCUUUUUCGGGUUUUCAUCUUGAUUUUCCUUUUUUAAGCAUAAUAUUUCUUCACAGCAUCUGAAUUCACUAGAUUCGGUAACUCCUUCCCAUUUAUCUCAGUGAGAAUCAAAGCUCCGCUCGAGAAUGCCUUCUUUACGACAUAUGGUCCUUCCCAAUUUGGUGCCCAUUUUCCUCGUAAGUCCUUCUGUAUUGGAAGAAUCUUUCUCAGCACGAGUUCUCCUUCGUGGAAUUCUCUUGGUCGUAUUUUCUUGUCAUAGGCCGCGAUUAUUCUCUUCUGGUACAUCUGUCCGUGACAAAUUACCUUUAAACGUUUUUCUUCGAUGAGGUUUAACUGGUCAUAUCGAGCUCGAACCCAUUCUGCCUCCUCUAGUUUCGAAUCCAUUAAGACUCAUAAAGAGGGGAUCUCAACUUCGAUAGGUAGCACAGCUUUUAUUCUAUAGACCAGAGAGAAAGAAGUUGCCCCCGUAGAUGUCCGUACAGAUGUGCGAUAUGCAUAUAAAGCAAAUGGUAGCUUCUCGUGCCAAUCUUUUUAUGUCUCAGUCAUUUUCCCAAUAAUCUUCUUAAUAUUCUUGUUGGCUGCUUUAAUAGCUCCGUUCAUUUUCGGGCGAUAGGGUGACAAGUUAUGAUGCUUUAUUUGAAACUGCUCACACACUUGCUUCAUCAUUUUGUUGUUCAGAUUCAAGGCGUUAUCUGAAAUGAUUCUCUCAGGCAAACCAUAUCGACAAAUGAUUUCCUUUUUCAAAAAUCUGCAAACUGCAGUCUUUGUCACAUUGGCAAACGAAGCAGCUUCUAUCCAUUUUGUGAAGUAAUCAAUAACCAAAAAAAUGAACCGAUGUCCAUUAGAAGCUUUUAGGGAAAUUGGCCCCAUAACAUCCAUGCCCCACAUAGAAAAGGGCCACGGAGAAGUCAUGACAUGAAGGGGCGAAGGGGCAACAUGAAUCUUAUCACCAUAAAUUUGACAUUUGUGGCAUUUUCUUGCAAAACUAAUGCAGUCGCUUUCCAUCGUCAGCCAAUAGUAACCGAGUCUCAUAAUCUUCCUGGCCAUAGUGAAACCAUUGGCAUGUGUCCCACAAAUUCCCUCGUGGACAUCUUCAAGUAUUUUUCUAGCUUCAAUAGCAUCUACACAUCUCAAGAGCACUUGAUCUUUUCCUCUUUUGUACAGGAUGUUCCCAUCAAGAACAAAUCCUGCUAUCAUUCUUCUGAUUGUUUGUUUGUCAUUCUCAUUUGCUUGUUCGGGAUACUUUUGGUUCUUGACAUAUUCUAAGAUAUCAUGGAACCAUGACCAUCCAUCUGGCUCUUUUUCAAUGCUGAAACAAUGUGCAGGGACUUCAUAUAUGCUCAUUUGAAGAGGCAUUAUUUUUGUUUCUCUGUUUGCUUUGAACAUUGAAGCCAAAGUGGCCAGGGCAUCAGUCAAUUGAUUUUCUUCUCGUGGGAGGUAAUUAAAAGUUAUUUCUUCGAAUUCUUUAAUCAGCUCUGCCACUAGAUCACUGUAUUUGACUAGUUUCGAAUCUCCCACUUCCCAAUCUCCACGGAUUUGGUAUAUCACCAAGGCUGAGUCUCCGUAUACCUUUAAACUUUUGAUGUUUCAUCCAAUUGCUGCACGAAGUCCCAUGAUACAAGCCUCAUAUUCUGCUAUGUUAUUGGUACAGAAAAGUUCAGCCUGGCAGUGAGUGGGUAAUGAUUUCCUUCUGGUGAUACUAAGACUGCUCCAAUCCCAUGCCCCAAUGCAUUCGAUGCACCAUCAAAACUCAUCUUUCAUGACUUUUCUUUUGAUGACUCACAUUCUUUUUCUAUAAUGCACAUUAAGUCUUCAUCUGGGAAAUCAAAUCUCAAUGGCUUGUAUUCCUCCGUUGUUCGAGUUGCUAAGAAGUCAGCUAUUGCACUCCCUUUUAUCGACUUUUGGCUCACAUAGACGAUAUCAUAUUCUGAUAGUAAGAUCUGCCAUCGUGCCAUUCUUCCUAAGAGUGCAGGUGAUUCCAUCAUGUACUUUAUUGGGUCUUACUUUGAAAUUAGCCAUGUCGUAUAAUACAACAUAUAUUGCUUGAGUCUUCGAGCUACCCAAACCAGAUCGCAACAGCAUUUUUCUAUGGAUGAAUACUUUGCCUCAUAUUCAGUGAACUUUUUGCUGAGGUAGUAGAUCGCCUUUUCUUUCUUUCCGAACUCGUCAUGUUGCCCCAGUACGCAACCUAUUGAAUUCUCGAACACAGUCAAAUACAAUAUCAAUGGUCUUUCCGGCAUUGGUGGUACUAGCACUGGAGGACUAGACAAAUACUGUUUUAUCUUGUUAAAAGCCACUUGGCACUCUUCGUUCCAUUCUCCGGGAUUAUGUUUUCGAAUGAGUCGAAAGAUUGGGUCGCAUUGGUUGGUAAGUUGAGCGAUAAAUCGGGCGAUGUAGUUUAAUCUCCCUAAAAAUCUCUGACUUUCUUUUGCGUACGCGACGGUGGUAACUCUUAAAUGGCUUUUAUUUUAUCUGGAUCAACUUCAAUGCCUCUCUCACUGACAAUGAAGCCAAGCAAUUUUCCUGAGGUAGCCCCAAACGUACAUUUGGCCGAAUUGAGCUUUAGCUGGAACUUUUUCAGUCUGUCGAACAACUUCUUCAGGUUCAUUACAUGCUCUUCUUCCCCUCGGGAUUUAGCAAUCAUAUCAUCGACAUAGACCUCUAUUUCUUUAUGCAUCAUGUCAUGGAAUAACGUCACCAUAGCCCUCUGAUAUGUUGCCCCAGCAUUCUUUAACCCAAAUGGCAUCACCUUGUAGCAGAAUGUUCCCACAUUUUUACGAAGGUAGUUUUCCCAUAUCCUCAGGGGCCAUCUUGAUCUGAUUAUACCCCGAGAAUCCAUCCAUGAAAGAAAGCAAUGAAUGUUUUACUGUGUUAUCCACAAACGUAUCAAUGUGUGGUAAGGGAAAAUUAUCUUUGGGACUUGCUCGAUUCAGGUCACGAUAAUCCACGCACAUUCGUACUUUGCCGUCUUUCUUUGGUACCGGAACUAUGUUGGCCACCCACUCUGGAUAUUUGGAGGUUUGUAGGAAGCCAGCAUCAAAUUGCUUCUUAGCUUCCUCCUUUAUUUUCAACAUCUCAGGUCUCAUCCGUCUUAGCUUUUGUUGAAUUGGUUUGCAUUCUGGCUUCAAUGGGAGCUUAUGGACCACUACAUCUUCAUCUAAUUCUGGUAUAUCCUGAUAUGACCAUACGAAUACAUCUUUGUACUCACGGAGCAAAGCAAUCAAAUUAUUUUUUGUGCCCCUUGAAAUAGAGGUCCCAAUCUUCACUUCUUGCUUCCUUUCUUCAGCUCCCAAGUUUAUUGUUUCAACAAAUUCUUGAUGAGGCAAAAUCUGUUUAUCCUCUUGUUCCACUAUUCUUAGCAAGUCAGGAGACGAGACAAUACUCUUCAGCAUUUUCUUCGGCUUCAAAUUUUCCUAAACAAACAACCUUCUCAAAAUUGAUUUUAGGACUCGUAACGGGUUUGCUCAUGCAAUUGAUAUCUGAGCACCUGAAAAUUGAAUGGAAAAGGAAACUAUAGAGGGGCAUCCAAGUAUUGAAACCAACAAACUAAAUGUUAUGGUAUGGCAUGAGGCAAAUGUAAAGAUAGGCUAUGAAAUGAUUAUGGAAUUAGUGAUAAUGCGAAAAAUCGUGACAAAAUGCAUCUUCAUUAAUAUUCAUUUAAAUGAUAAAGAGCGAAUGCAAGCUCUUACAAAAGAAUUCUAUUAUAUCUAAGGACAUAACAGAAUGUUAACGUUUGAGCAUUACUCUGGAGACUUAUAAACUAUAAGAAGAUCCUCGGCAGUCCAAUUGUUCAACAUAAAACCCGAGGGACAAGGGCGUAUCUUUGAGACGUCUUUAUUCGCAUCAGCUUUUUUGUCAAUGACAUUUAUACUGAUAUUCUGAAAACCCUCUUCGAUCAUUAACACAUUAUGCUUUGUGCACUAUACUGCCCUGGGUAUAUCAUUCCCGCAGACGUAAAUGUUCUUGACAAAUAAGGGAAUUUCAUGGGCUCCCAUUCUGGUUCUCGGCCUAAUGUUCUCGCGAUCCUUCUUUCUUAAUCUUUCUUCCACUGCUUUCUUCUUUGACACAUGUCCGGCUGGAACCCUAAACCGUAUCUAGCCUUGUGGUGUACUGGCUUUAGAGCCCUGACUAUUCCUUGCAGAUAUCUCCCUAAACCUCUUUUCGCUCGAGCUCCCCUUCCUAUAGUCAACUUGACACCCAUUCUGGUAUUUCUCGACAGUUUUGGCACCAAAAUUCUAUUUCCCUCAGCGACAAAAGUGGCAUUGACAAAUUCAAUGGAUCAGAAGGAACAUUCUACUGCGUCUUUGCUUACUUCAAGAUAUGGCGCAUCAGCAGAGAUAGAUGCGAUAAUGUCUUCUCCCUCGACAGUGACCAAACAACCAUCCAUGAUCAACUUUAGUUUUUGAUGGAGAGAGGAUGGAACUGCUCUAGCAGAAUGGAUCCAGGGCCUUCCCUGAAGGCAGUUAUACGAGGGUGUGAUGUCCAUGACUUGGAACUCGACAUUGUAAAUGUAAGGGCCCACUUCUAAAGGGAUAUCAAUCUUUCCCAUGACUUCACGCAUUGUCCCAUUGAAUGCCCUUACCGUGGAAUGACAGGGCCUUAAAUAGGACAGAUCUAUCGGAAUUCUGAAAAGCGUGGCCAAAGGUAUGACAUUAAGUUCUGAGCCAUUAUCGAUAAGCACAUUCAGUAUUAUGUAGCCCUUGCAACGCGUCGUAAAAUGUAGUGCUUUCACAGAGCCUCUACCAUUGGGUGGUAUUUCAUCAUCACUAAAAGAAAUGAAAUUAUCCGCAUUUAAGUUGUUCACCCAUCUGUCCAGCUUCUUCAUGGAUAUAUUGUUUGCCACGUAAGCUUUAUUCAACACCUUCAGCAAAGCGUUCUGGUAUGGCUCCGAAUUUAGUAGCAGAGAUAAAAUCAAGAUUCGUUCUGGCUGCUUAUUCAAUUGUUCCACCACAUUGUAUUCACUGUGUUUGAUAAAUUUCAAGAACUCUUGUGCUUCCUCCUCAUCCACAGGCUUUUUAAUUUCUUGCACGGGUGGAAUUUCUUGCUCGACUUCGGCCUCAUGCAUCACUCUUUCCCUUUUUGCUUCCAGUCACUAUUCUUCUUCACUGGUUCGACCUCUUUCGAAUAACUUCUACUCCGGGUAAAAUGACCUACCUCUCCAACAUCUCCAGUUAUGGCUUUGAGCUUUUCAUCUUCCGGUGUGACGAUAUUGAUGUCAUAUUUCUAUGGUACAGCUUUGUCGUCCUUGUACGGGAAAGGAGACGGUACUUCGAUUAUCAUUUUUAGUUUCACCGACUCUUUCGUCGCAUCGUAAUAAAUUAUUAACGGUCGAUCCGCGCUAUAAGGGAGACCUAAUGACUGGUUGUCAGAAGUGCAUACUUCUCUUUCGUUGGUCUCUUCCCUCUUGUUAAGGACCUUAAUCUCCUUAUUAUCCAUCCGAUCUUGAAGCAACCUUUUAAAUUCCUCACACGACUGAAUGUCGUGUCCUACAAUUCCAUGAAAAUUGCAAAAACUUUGACCUUCUCCGAGGAUUCUAUCGGGGUGACAAAGCAAUCCUUUUUAACCAGUACCUCCCAGAUUUUCUGCAGAGGCGUCCUUAUUUUUAAAACACAUCUUCUGACUUUCCAUUCGUCAUCUUUCCCCACUGUGCUCACAUUCCCUUCAGCAUGGUUAGAGAAUGGGUUCCCAGUUGCGUUACUGGCACUAUCAAACCGUAAUAUACCCGCAUCAAUGAGUCCUUGAACUCUCCUCUUAAAGGCUAGGCAAUUCUCCGUGGAAUGCCCCUGGUUCCUCGCGUGGUAUGCACAACUAGCGUUUGGAUCGUACCACUUUGGGUAUGGAGGUUUAAGGGGUGCCAUGUAAUGGGGAGAAAGUAGCUGUUUCUCCAGAAGUUUUGGGUACAAUUCCCCAUACGACACAGGGAUAAGAGUAAAUUGCAGUCUCUCGGGAUUAGGCCUUGCUGGUCUUAGUUCGUUUCUAGGCUGGCUUUGAGUGGGUACCGUGUUUUGUGGGAAUGUGGUGACGGGUCUUUGGUUGUUCGUGGCGUAUACAGGGUAGGAAGGAGGUGGUGCUUGGUAGUAAGGGGUUUGAGGGGGAUAAUAGAAAUUUGGAGGUGGAUAACUUCAAGGUCGGGGUUGGUUUGGAUAUGGAUUAGGGGCAUAACGACUUCCCAUUCCCACCAUGUGGGCUUCUAGUUCUUUCUUCAUGGGUGCUACCCUUCUUGAACUUUCUUGACCUUCCAUUCUACCGCUCUUGACGGCGUUUUCUAUAAGCUCACCGGAUAUUACAAUAUCCGCGAAGUCCUUCGUAAAGCUUCCCACUAGUUUGUCAUAAAACAGCGUCUUUAAGGUGUUGAUAAAAAGGACGAUUAUCUCCGUUUUCAUUAGUGGGGGUUCCACUUGGGCUGAGAUGUCCCUCCAUCUCUGCGCGUACUGUCUAAAAGUUUCUGGCGACUUUUUCUCCAUCAUUUGUAAAGUCAUCCGAUCAGACACCAUAUCUAAUACAUGCUUGUACUGCUCACAGAAUACCGACGCCAAGUCUUUCCAAGAUCGGAUCCUUUCCUUACUGAGCUGGUUGUACCACCGAAGAGCCGAUCCUACUAGACUGUCUUGAAAACAAUGUACAAGUAGCUUAUCUUCGUUCACGUAACCGGUCAUUUUUCGGUAAAACAUGACAAGAUGUGCUUUUGGACAUCUUGUCCCAUCGUACUUUUCGAAAUCAAGCACCUUGAACUUCGGAGGCAAGAUUAGGUCAGGUACCAAACUAAGUUAUUUAGCACCUAGUACCGAGAAGACUUCAGUGUCUUCUAUUGCCUUGAGUUUUUCUUCCAAAUUCCUAUACUUCUCUUGAGCCUCGUGAUCAUCUAUUUUCAACUUGGCUAUUUCGACUGGAUCAUCUAAAUCUGGAACUACAGGAUUGGCAGGGGUUGUUCCGGGAUUUGACAUAAAUGUUCCUUGCACUAGAUGAGCAAAUGGCAUAGGUCGUUGUUCCAAGCCUUUGGAUUCCCCUUGAGUAUACCCUCUUUGUGCUACGUGGGAAUGUGGUGGAGUGAAUCUUGGAGGAUAGAGUGGAUCCUGGUCAUGAUUAAUUCUUGAUUGAGGUUCCAUACUGUAGGGGUUCUGCAUGGGUCCUUUUCUUUUGACCGAAACUGAUAUCAUCUCCAUCAUUCUAGCCAUUUGAUCAUUUUAUUCAAGUGAUUCCUCCCGAGAUCUUACUAUCAAAUCCCCCGUUUCUUGCUGUGACUUAGCCAAUUGUUCUUGUAAUUCCUUCUGGACUCUUUCCAUCUUUUCGAUCCUUUCAUUGAACUCAGCCUCCAUUGCUCUGGCUUGUCGACGCGUUUUAUACGAAUGGUGUGAUUUCAGAUUUAAAGUGUUGCAACUGCGAAUUAUAUGAUUCUAACCUUAACGAAUGAUUAUGGGAUAUGUAUAUGCAAUGAAUGGAUGAAUUGAUGCAAAAAGAGGCGUUGAUUCCAAUUCAAUUUCAUUAGAACUUCACUAGAAGAAAAAUUUCUUUACAUAGAACAGAUGAUUACAUAUACGACUUCGCCCUAAUGCCCAAAGUCUUUUCUUAAGAAGCCAAGCUAAGCUUCGGCCUCAGUCUGAUUCCGAAUCGUACUUUAAGCUCAAUAUAUCAGCCUGAACUGCCAAGGUUUGCAAGUGAUCAGUUAUCUCUCGAACCUAAGCUAUAGCUUCGCCCAUGACAAAGUCUCUAUCUCUAAUUUGGUUUUAAGAGUGGUGAAACUGUUCUCUGUAAUGGUCAUUGUUUGUCUCAAGAAGUCCCACUCAAAUUUUGCUAUCUUGCAGUGCGGUCUCGAGUUCUUCUAUUUUCCCUUUCAACUCUUCGAUCCUGCUCAGACUAGCCUUUAACUUAAUUAUCGAAUUAUGGCUAUGAUGCUGCUGAAGUAAUCUUUCCAAUUUAGCCACCUGAGCUCGUAACUUCUCUUUUUCAUUUUGGGUUUCUAACAAACUCUUCUUCAGAGUGUCCUCUCGUACUCGGGCAUCUUGAAAUCUUUUCUCCCAAUGGUCGGCUCUAGUCUUUUCCUCUUUAAUCUCUUGACGCCAUUGCUCAGACAUUUUACCUAAUCCGACAAUUUUUAUUGUUAUACGAAGCUUCUUGUAAUCGAUUUUCAGACUAUCUAAAUCUUCCUCGGCCUUGUUCUUUCCUUUCUUUAACUUCUCGGCCUCUAGCUUGUGGAAAUCGACGUCUAACCCCAACUUCAUUUUAUAUUCUUCUAACUACUCUAUCUUCUUCCCCAACUCCGAGUUUUUUUCUUAAAAUCUUGCUUAAUGAUCUCUAACUCAGAUGGGAUGACCCGUAAAUACUCCUCUAUCAGUUGUGUGUUCCCUUGAUUCUGCCUAGGGAUGUUGUCGUUGACUCUCCUACCCUACCACCAUUUAUACUCGGGGGUCGUCAUCGGGCCUGCAGUGAAUCCUUUCAUUCUUCGAGUUUGGUUCCAUGCAUCUAAUAUCUCGCGAACCCUCUUUUUAUAAUUGUUGUCUUUAUAGGGGAACUCACAUUUUGCCAACCCUUGUGUCACCGGUAUAAACUGCCUUGAUACUUCCUUAACACCAUCAAUGGAGCGUAUCCAAUGGCUCCCCAUAUUCCAACCAGAGGGACGCAGUCAAAAUCACCGCACCUAUAUAAGAUCUCGUCAGGAAUAAACCACGGAGCCCUCCAUUCAAUGUCUUCGGUCCGUAAAUUUUAGAGAAUAGUUAUCCACUUCUCUUCGGAGAUGUCGUCCCGCCUCGAUGUGGCCACUAAUUCUCUUAAUGGGGAAUAAUCCUUAGAGAAUACCCGAUAGGAGACCUUUUCCACCUUCUAAAAAUGACUAUGGAACCAAGCCAAAAGAAGCUGUGUGCAACCAAUAAAUCUUCCCUCGCCCGCUCUCCGGCAUGUAUUCAAGGAUCGAAAAGUUUCUGCUAGGAUUGUCAGGACGGGUGUGGUACCUUUAUCAAGUCGAUCGAAUAAAUCUGAGACGGUUUCAUCUAUGUGUCCAAGUGCUUUAGGAAAGACGAUCAAAUCGUAGACUUAAGGCAUAAACAUCAACCCUUUUCUUCGAAUCCGGGUGCGCAAGAAUAAAAUCCCUCAAAUUCCUCCAAUGAAUACAUUUACUAUCCCCUUUUUGCUUGAUGCGGGUCGCAACCCAUUGCUCGCUCAUCCCCGUGAUAUUCAUCAAUUUCUUCAAAAAGGGAGGGACAUUAACAGCUCUUGAAUAGGCCUUAUCGGCCUGAAUCUUUGGGCAAUUAAGUAACACCAUGUUUUCCUCCACCGUAGGUACUAAAUCAACUCCUCCGAAAGUGAAGCAACUGUAAGUGGGGUUCCAAAAUUGCGCGAGGGCCCGAAACAAGUACUUGUCCACCUUUACAUCGAGUAAAUAGGGUAGGCCGUCGUAGUUACAGUAAAAGAGUUGUUUGACUUCGCCAUUCUGACUAUUCCAUAUAUCCCUUAACUCUUGCAGGUCGUUCUGAGUCACACUGAUGCGAGUGAAAUCCCACAACUCCGAUUCAUAUCCCUCGGUCAAACUAUCUCCUUUCUCUUGUUGCGUUCUCUCAGACCACACUCGGACGGCCGCAUUAUCCUCCAUUCUAUCAAGAAAUCAUUUUUCCAUGCUAAACUCUUCUAAUUAGUAACCAAAUGUAAAUCAACACCCUUUUAUGAUGAAAUGUCAUACAAAAAUGAUCAAAAUACAACAAGUUAAUAUUAUAUACAAAGAAUAGAAUUCAAAGCAAAUAGUGAGUAAAUAAGCACCUAAUCAGGUAACCACUAGGGUUUGGUGUGGUUCUACUUAGGCUAGGCUCCUAGGGCUCAUUACAUGUAGUUUGGUUCUAAAGUAAAGGUACCUGAACCAGCAGAUUCCUCGAUCCUCACCCAUUAUAGGUUCAUACAGACCGAGUUCGAUUCAGGGGAAUACAUUUUCCUACGGCUAUACGGAGGUGAAAACCCCAUGAAGACGCAGGUACGGAUGUAUCCCGAAAGCGAUCCACUAUCCUAUACGGAGGUGAAUACCUCACGAAGAAGUAGGUUUUCACUUCCACUUAAGAGGGUGAAAUCAACCAAUAAUGCGAUGCGAUAUGCAAAGAUACCUCAAAGAAUUAAACCACUUAAAGCAAGCAUAUUAUGAAGAGUCGCGAAAAUAACAGACAACAUUCAAUGCAGUAAAUUUAAAAUUGAUUUUCAAUUUUUGACAAAAGAAAAAAAAAUCAAUUUAAGGCUCGACUCUCGAAGUCCCCAGUGGAGUCGUCAAGCUGUCGAAACCAUUCUUUUGAAAACGGAGAUCAGACUUUGUUUGAAAGUGAAAAUUAAAACGGGAGUCGCCACCAAUCUUUUAUCAGGUGUGAUCGGAUCACCUUUGUUUUAAUAAAUCAAUUUUAGUUUACUAAAACAAGGCCUUUGGUAUACGAAACUUGAGAGAAUGAGUUCGGGAGUCGAUUACGUGCGAAGAAGAAUUAGCACCCUCGACACGCCCAAAAAAUUGGUACCGAAUUGAUUAGUUAGUGUCUUAAUAUCGAAAAUUAAAAAUCGGGAAGGGGCUUGAAAUACGAUCUUUUCUAUUAAUACUGAUUUUAAAAUUCUUGAAUUAGCUUAAAUAGAUUUGUUUAAAGAUUUCCUUAUCUCGAGAUAUAGGAGUAUCACAUCCCGUAAGUUAGGACACAAUACCAUGAAUUCCCGAGCACAAGAUUGUCUUUUAAUUUAAAUUGGAAAUCCGUGCAUUUCAAAACUCAAAAGGAUAUUUAGCUAUUUAGAACCAACAAGAGAACCGAAACCCCGUAAGUUAGGGCACAAUUCUUCGAUGUUCCAAAAUGCGAAACAUUUAUCUUAUUUAUUGAAAUUAGUAAAAACAUGAAUAAAAAUCUUUAAAAUAAUGAACAACAGAAUGAUAUAAAAUAGGCGGGAGACAAAAAUAAACGAGUUGGAAAUACAUUGAAACAAAUAAUAAAUAUGACAACAAUAUUAAAACAAUAACAAUGCAUGCGAUAUAUUAAAUGUAAUAAUAGUAUCCAAUGUGAAAUAAAAACAACGAAUAUAUACAUAAUAAAGAUAUUAAGAGUAUGUACGUAAAAUAUAUAUAUAUAUUUAUAAAUAGUAAUAGUGUUAGAAAUAUACUAUAUAUAGUGUUUGAAGUAUAUACAUAAAAUAGUGAAAAUAUAACUAGUAAUGUUAAGAUAUAUAUAAUAUAUACAUAUGUAUGAAAUAGAUAUAAAAAAAAUAUGUACAUAAUAUAGUGUAAAAAAUACAUACAUAAUAUAAUUAAAAUAUAUACAUAAUAUAACAUGUAGAAAAAAAAAUAUAAAUAAUAUAGUAUUAAAGAUAUAUACAUAAAAUAGUAUAAUAUAUAUACGUAAUAUAGAAUUUAGAAUAUACCUAAUAUAUUAAAAGAAUAUAUAUAUAAUAUAAUAUUAAAAAAUAUAAUAAUAACAAAAAAAAGAGGGAGAGAGUGGGUGAUUUCCGACCACCGUCCGGUCACCGAACCGCCGCCGGCCGCUGUCAGUGCCACCGUACAUGGCAGCUGGACCUCAAAAAAACUUUUUCGGUAAAAAUGAGAAACCUUCCUCCUUUUAUUUUUACUUUCGUAUAAAAGAAACAAAAUAAAACUGAAAGGAAAACAAUAAGCAAACAAAGAACUUAAAACGAGAAUAGACCAAGAAACCUCUUUUGCUUUGAUAUUUGAUUAAUCUCCAAAAAAAAACUAGUCUCUCCAAAAACUAGCCUUUACAAUAACUCUUCUUCUUGAUAACUCUAAAAAAAACCUCUUAAAAAUCCUUUACAAUAACUUUCUCCCUCAAAACUUCUUCCCCUAAAUACAAAAUAUGAGAAGGCUUAUAUAGCCAUUUACCAAAUAUUUUUUAUUGUUUAUGUCCUCAUUUGUAGUUACAAGUGGUGGUAAAGCAAGUGUGGCUAAUGGAGUAGGUGGUGGAGCAAGUGUGGGUAGUGAAAUAGGUGGUAGAGCAAGUGUGGCUAGUGGAGUUGGUGGUGGCAAAAGAUAGGAUUUAGUUGAGAAAAAUUUAGGUUGUGGGCUGGGGUUUUUUUAUUUUGAUUUGGGCUUAGGGUUUGGGCCAUUGGGAUUUUGAUGUAAAUUGGGCUUUGAGUAGUUAAGAUUUUGGGUUUUGGGUUUAAUUUUGAUGGGUUAGGUAAGGGUAAAUUGGAUUUUGAUGUAAAUGAGUUUAAAUUGGCCUACAACAUCUAUAUUACAGAAGAAUGAUGGCGUCCGCAACUUACCGAAGGUGCCCAAACAGGACGGAAAUGAAGGAGCAUGUUUUUAGGGAGUGUCCUAUUGCAAAUGAGACAUGGGAAAAGUUAGGCUUUAACUGGCCUACUUUUGGGGAAAGUACUGGUUUUAAAGAUUGGCUUAAAUGUAUUUUUGAGUUAAACUCUUUGAACAAGUGUAGGGUGAUUGCAUUUGCUAUGUGGGUGAUCUAGACAUCAAGAAACAGGUUUAUUCAUGAAGGUUAAGAACAAUCUGGGACUCAAAUGGCAGAUUUCAUAACAAACUACAUCAAAGAACUUGAUGGGUUGAGUAUGCGCUUACCAGUGAAUGGUUUCAGACGGGUAGAUGGGUCGUGCCGACUAACCCGUAGGUUAGAAUCAACUUUGAUGCUGCUUUUAAUAAGGAGAAGAAUGAGUCAUGCUCGGGGUUAGUAAUACGGAAUGCUAGGGCAGAGGUGAUUUGCUCAAAAUCAGUUAUUCAUAAGAAUAUACCUUCUGCUUUUGCUGCGGAAGUGAUGGCAUAUCUCCAGGCGGUCCAUCUUGGGUUAUCUCUUGAGUUGAGAGAGGUUGAGAUUAAAGGUGACUCGCGAUCGGUGAUUCAGAAACUGCAAAAAGGAAAGGAAGACAGAUCAGAAAUCGAAGUUUUCAUUAAAGAUUCAAAGUAUCUGAGCCUUGGCUUUGAAUCCUGUAUUUUUCGGUGUAUCCCUAGAGAAUCUAAUAAAAUUGCUCAUUUCAUAGCGAAAGAGGGAUUAUAGAAGAACGAAUCAACUUAUCUGCUGGGCAUGGUUUUGAUUGGAGCGGAGGAAGCUAUGGUGGCCGAUCAAAGUUGGAGGGUUUCUUUGGGGGACUGAAUCGUUGGAUUUGCUGUUGGAAAGAUUUAGGAUGAAGUUUGAAAAGCCAGGAUGAUUUGUGAUGUUUAGAAGUUUUUCUGUGGAAAUGAUGGCUCUUGCUGAGAAUUAAAGAAAGCACAUCGAUUCACAGGUGGCUUUGUUGCUUUUGAGGGAUAGGUUUAUUAAAUGGUUUACAGCUGGCUAAAGAAGUCUCUAGAGCUACCCGUCUUGCUUUGCUGGAUCUUUUGUUGUUUUAUUUUGUUUCUGUUUUUUGGCCCGGGAUUGUUCGGCUUGGUUUUGGGAUAUUUGUUUUGGAUUUGUUUUGUCUUAUUGAAUAUAAGAUCUAGAUGUUUUACUCAAAAAAAUAAUUUUUUGAGAGAUAUAUUAUAUAUUUAAAAUUUUUUAA